GGUUAAGCGACUAAGCGUACACGGUGGAUGCCCUGGCAGUCAGAGGCGAUGAAGGACGUGCUAAUCUGCGAUAAGCGUCGGUGAGGUGAUAUGAACCGUUAUAACCGGCGAUUUCCGAAUGGGGAAACCCAGUGUGUUUCGACACACUAUCAUUAACUGAAUCCAUAGGUUAAUGAGGCGAACCGGGGGAACUGAAACAUCUAAGUACCCCGAGGAAAAGAAAUCAACCGAGAUUCCCCCAGUAGCGGCGAGCGAACGGGGAGGAGCCCAGAGCCUGAAUCAGUGUGUGUGUUAGUGGAAGCGUCUGGAAAGGCGCGCGAUACAGGGUGACAGCCCCGUACACAAAAAUGCACAUAUUGUGAGCUCGAUGAGUAGGGCGGGACACGUGGUAUCCUGUCUGAAUAUGGGGGGACCAUCCUCCAAGGCUAAAUACUCCUGACUGACCGAUAGUGAACCAGUACCGUGAGGGAAAGGCGAAAAGAACCCCGGCGAGGGGAGUGAAAAAGAACCUGAAACCGUGUACGUACAAGCAGUGGGAGCCUCUUAAUGGGGUGACUGCGUACCUUUUGUAUAAUGGGUCAGCGACUUAUAUUCUGUAGCAAGGUUAACCGAAUAGGGGAGCCGAAGGGAAACCGAGUCUUAACUGGGCGUUAAGUUGCAGGGUAUAGACCCGAAACCCGGUGAUCUAGCCAUGGGCAGGUUGAAGGUUGGGUAACACUAACUGGAGGACCGAACCGACUAAUGUUGAAAAAUUAGCGGAUGACUUGUGGCUGGGGGUGAAAGGCCAAUCAAACCGGGAGAUAGCUGGUUCUCCCCGAAAGCUAUUUAGGUAGCGCCUCGUGAAUUCAUCUCCGGGGGUAGAGCACUGUUUCGGCAAGGGGGUCAUCCCGACUUACCAACCCGAUGCAAACUGCGAAUACCGGAGAAUGUUAUCACGGGAGACACACGGCGGGUGCUAACGUCCGUCGUGAAGAGGGAAACAACCCAGACCGCCAGCUAAGGUCCCAAAGUCAUGGUUAAGUGGGAAACGAUGUGGGAAGGCCCAGACAGCCAGGAUGUUGGCUUAGAAGCAGCCAUCAUUUAAAGAAAGCGUAAUAGCUCACUGGUCGAGUCGGCCUGCGCGGAAGAUGUAACGGGGCUAAACCAUGCACCGAAGCUGCGGCAGCGACGCUUAUGCGUUGUUGGGUAGGGGAGCGUUCUGUAAGCCUGUGAAGGUGUGCUGUGAGGCAUGCUGGAGGUAUCAGAAGUGCGAAUGCUGACAUAAGUAACGAUAAAGCGGGUGAAAAGCCCGCUCGCCGGAAGACCAAGGGUUCCUGUCCAACGUUAAUCGGGGCAGGGUGAGUCGACCCCUAAGGCGAGGCCGAAAGGCGUAGUCGAUG
rnacentral:rRNA from 1 species